GUCCCUGUAGCUCAGAGGAUAGAGCGGCUGCCUUCUAAGCAGCGGGUCGUUGGUUCGAAUCCAACCAGGGAUGCCA
rnacentral:tRNA from 1 species